rnacentral:miRNA from 1 species
UGCAUGUGGAACUUCCAGAUC